GUAGGCGGCAAGCGUUGUCCGGAAUUAUUGGGCGUAAAGCGCGCGCAGGCGGUUCUUUAAGUCUGAUGUGAAAGCCCACGGCUCAACCGUGGAGGGUCAUUGGAAACUGGAGAACUUGAGUACAGAAGAGGAAAGCGGAAUUCCACGUGUAGCGGUGAAAUGCGUAGAGAUGUGGAGGAACACCAGUGGCGAAGGCGGCUUUCUGGUCUGUAGCUGACGCUGAGGCGCGAAAGCGUGGGGGAGCAAACAGGAUUAGAUACCCUGGUAGUCCACGCCGUAAACGAUGAGUGCUAAGUGUUAGGGGGUUUCCGCCCCUUAGUGCUGCAGCUAACGCAUUAAGCACUCCGCCUGGGAGUACGGCCGCAAGGCUG
rnacentral:rRNA from 1 species